rnacentral:rRNA from 1 species
ACGUAGGGGGCAAGCGUUAAUCGGAAUUACUGGGCGUAAAGCGUGCGCAGGCGGUUAGGAAAGAAGGAUUUGAAAUCUCCGGGCUCAACCUGGGGACGGCUUUGAAAAUGUAUGACUUGAGUACAGUAGAGGUAAGCGGAAUUCCCAGUGUAGCGGUGAAAUGCGUAGAUAUUGGGAGGAACACCAGUGGCGAAGGCGGCUUACUGGGCUGGAACUGACACUGAGGCGCGAAAGCUAGGGGAGCAAACGG